rnacentral:rRNA from 1 species
AAUUCGAUUAGAGUUUGAUCCUGGCUCAGAUUGAACGCUGGCGGCAUGCCUUACACAUGCAAGUCGAACGGCAGCACGGGAGCUUGCUCCUGGUGGCGAGUGGCGAACGGGUGAGUAAUACAUCGGAACGUACCCAGGAGUGGGGGAUAACGUAGCGAAAGUUACGCUAAUACCGCAUAUUCUGUGAGCAGGAAAGCGGGGGAUCGCAAGACCUCGCGCUCUUGGAGCGGCCGAUGUCGGAUUAGCUAGUUGGUGAGGUAAAAGCUCACCAAGGCGACGAUCCGUAGCAGGUCUGAGAGGAUGAUCUGCCACACUGGGACUGAGACACGGCCCAGACUCCUACGGGAGGCAGCAGUGGGGAAUUUUGGACAAUGGGGGCAACCCUGAUCCAGCCAUGCCGCGUGAGUGAAGAAGGCCUUCGGGUUGUAAAGCUCUUUCGGCGGGGAAGAAAUGGCAACGGCUAAUAUCCGUUGUUGAUGACGGUACCCGCAUAAGAAGCACCGGCUAACUACGUGCCAGCAGCCGCGGUAAUACGUAGGGUGCGAGCGUUAAUCGGAAUUACUGGGCGUAAAGCGUGCGCAGGCGGUUUCGUAAGACAGACGUGAAAUCCCCGGGCUCAACCUGGGAACUGCGUUUGUGACUGCGAGGCUAGAGUACGGCAGAGGGGGGUAGAAUUCCACGUGUAGCAGUGAAAUGCGUAGAGAUGUGGAGGAAUACCGAUGGCGAAGGCAG